CUAACCCUCGGAAGGGGCUUAGCACAUAAUAGGUGCUCAAGAAAAGUUUCUUCCCUUUCUGUGUCUGAGAUUGCUGCUCCUCCAACACCACUGUCCCGCCCCUCAGUGACCCCAGGUACAUAGCUCCUUGAACUGUCCACCAGCUCCGCCCUCAGGUUUACUGGGGGUAGCAGCAUUUCCUCCAGAAAGUGUGUGCCAGGAACCGUCGGUCCCCACUGGCCAGGCUCCGGCUGGAGGAAGCCCCACAGCAGGGGAGCUUCCUUCUUGAACUGGUUUGGGCUGGACCCUUCCCUCCCAGGCCUUGGGCAUCCCCCGAUGCAGUCAUGCGUUAGCCAGCAGGAAGAUGCCUGCAGACAUCCAGAAGAGAAAAGUUCAAAGCAGUCCUCACACACGGCAGUGCCUUUCCAGCCUGAGGUGGAAUCUUCAGUGUGGCCUCCCUCCCCUGUGUUAAGGCGAAGUGUCAGCCAGGAGGGGCUGGGGCUGUGCCCGAGCUGGCCACCCCGUUCUGCUUGUUUCCACUUCAGGGUCUUAGGCUCACAUCACUUCUUUCAAGCUGGGCAGGAGAAACGGCAGGGUCUGGCUCUCUGAGGGGGAGUCCCCUUCCUUCCUCCUCCUGGUGUCUUCUUGGAGGAAAGCUCCUCCCCUAGAUGAAUUGCGUGCAGAUGGAGAUGCUAGAGGGGCGACAGUAACAGCUGGCAUGGCCUGUUUGACUUAACCUUGGGGCCCCAUGGCUGGUGCAGCAGCCACCUCCCUCAGCCCAGUGGCCUUGGAGACAUGGAUGGGAAAAGGAGCCCUGGAAAUGGCAAGCGGAGGCCCUGGCUGACCGGGUGGGAGUGCUCUGAGGACACAGCCUGAUGCUGGGGAGAGGCAGGGCAUGUUUUGUCCUGGGUGAUUCACUCGCGAUGACUGGGGCAACACUGGUCCCGUUCAGGUGGAUGAACGUCUCUUAGGCACUCAGCCUCCAUGGAUCACUCUUCUCUGUAUUUAAAAAUAUUUUGUUUUUGGCCGGACGCGGUGGCUCACGCCUGUAAUCCCAGCACUUUGGGAGGCUGAAGGCGGGUGGAUCACCUGAGGUCAGGAGUUCAAGAUCAGCCCAGCCAACAUGGUGAAACCCUAUCUCUACUAAAAAUACAAAAAUUAGCCGGACGUGGUGGUGCACACCUAUAGUCUCAGCUACUUGGGAGGCUGAGGCAGGAGAAUCACUUGAACCUGGAAGGCAGAGGUUGCAGUGAGCCAAGAUCGCACCACUGUACUCCAGCCUGGGCAACAGAGUGAAACGCUGUCUCAAAAAAAAAAAAAAAAAAAAAAAAUUGUUUUUUUUUAGAGAAGCAAUCCGUCGUCUUUAAGGAAAACUUAGAAAAAGAGUAGAAAGAUAGAAUAGAAGGAGAUCACCUGUAGCCCCACCAGGUAAAUGGGACAACUAAUAUGUUGAUGUAUUUCCUUCAAAUAGCCAUUGUAUUCACACUGCAUUGACAAAUUACCAUUGGCAAAAUCUUUAAAAACCCCCUACCCCUAAUCUAUAUCAUCAAGAAUUCCACUUUCGCCAAAGUAAACCUUGAUAGUUUAAUUUGUGUCUGGGACCCAUGACUGUGGACAGGUUUAGGCCCCAGCAGGUCGUGGGAUCCAGGAGAGACCACCAAAUCGGGCCCCUCAUAAUGAUCACACUAGACCUGAGGGAGGUGAGAGUCAGGCUACGGGUACCCGCCGUCACUCCCACCAGCUUUAUUAUUUUACCUUUCACAUUGAGGUUUGUGAUCUGUCUGCAUAAUUUUGGAGUAUGAUAUGAGCUCAUUCUUCCGGGUUUAUUUUUUUUCCAUGCAGAUAUCAAAUUACUUCAGCUACAUUUAUUAAAAACAUCAUCCAUUCCCCC
rnacentral:lncRNA from 1 species